rnacentral:rRNA from 1 species
ACCGGGAUUGCCCUAGUAACGGCGAGUGAAGCGGCAAGAGCUCAAAUUUGAAAGCUGGCCCCCUCGGGGUCCGCAUUGUAAUUUGUAGAGGAUGCUUCGGGAGCGGUCCCCAUCUAAGUGCCCUGGAACGGGCCGUCAUAGAGGGUGAGAAUCCCGUAUGGGAUGGGGUGCCCGCGCCCGUGUGAAGCUCCUUCGACGAGUCGAGUUGUUUGGGAAUGCAGCUCUAAUUGGGUGGUAAAUUUCAUCUAAAGCUAAAUAUUGGCCGGAGACCGAUAGCGCACAAGUAGAGUGAUCGAAAGAUGAAAAGCACUUUGAAAAGAGAGUUAAACAGCACGUGAAAUUGUUGAAAGGGAAGCGCUUGCGAUCAGACUCGCUCGCGGGGUUCAGCCGGCCUUCGGGCCGGUGUACUUCCCCGCGGGCGGGCCAGCGUCGGUUUGGGCGGCCGGUCAAAGGCCCCUGGAAUGUAACGCCUCUCGGGGCGUCUUAUAGCCAGGGGUGCCAUGCGGCCUGCCCGGACCGAGGAACGCGCUUCGGCUCGGACGCUGGCAUAAUGGUCGUAAGCGACCCGUCUUGAAACACGGACCAAGGAGUCUAACAUCUACGCGAGUGUUCGGGUGUCAAACCCGUGCGCGCAGUGAAAGCGAACGGAGGUGGGAACCCCUCGGGGUGCACCAUCGACCGAUCCUGAAGUCUUCGGAUGGAUUUGAGUAAGAGCGUAGCUGUUGGGACCCGAAAGAUGGUGAACUAUGCCUGAAUAGGGCGAAGCCAGAGGAAACUCUGGUGGAGGCUCGCAGCGGUUCUGACGUGCAAAUCGAUCGUCAAAUUUGGGUAUAGGGGCGAAAGACUAAUCGAACC